UGUCCCCGCUGGCUCGUGUUUGCCCCUGCACCUCCAUCUCAGGAGGUCUCAGAAGGCAGGUCACACUGCAGACCACAGUGGCCCCACACCCAGCGGGGCGGAGCCGUCCUGUCUGCAGGCUCAGCGACCCCAGGGCCGCUGUCCUCCCCCUGCCGGAGUCCUCGGCCCAGCUCUAGGUCUGCAGCUCAUUCUCCAGCUCCACGCCUCCGUUUGAAAGUAGCCACCAGCGACAGUAAAUCAGUGAACAUUAUUAAUCUUCCUGACUGGGCCCUGAGUGAGUGAAGAGGGCCAUUGAAAGGGGACUAAACGGUUAUACUGGGUGCCCUUGAAAAUGAAAAGGAACCCUGCAAGUGAUGACUGAUAAUCCUAAAAACUACUGCGAAAUGCUUUAAAAUACCACCGCUGGGCGUAACACCAGGCCCUGCGCUCUCAAAACCGAAGCUCCAGGCUCCUGGGCCCCGGGAGAGGAAGAGGAGGAGUCAGGCAGGCAGCUGAGAGAAGGGGCUCCCAUCUCCCAUCCUCUCCUCCCAGCAUCACAGAGGCGCCCACGAAAGCAGAACCCGAACCUUCCGCUCCUUUAUCCGAUACCGCACCUCUCCAAGUGAUGUUUUUUCGCAGACUGAGCAAAACUCAUUGCCCGGAGUAGUUUGGGCAAAUGACUCCCAGUUUGGCCAGUUAGGCCCUUGCUCCGUUAAUCAGUGAAACAACUGUCCUAGCCUUUGGCUCCUCGGUUUGAUUGUCUAUUCAAUACCCCAAAAAUGUACAGGCACAUCAUACUCACAUUUGCAACCCAUAAAAAUAUCGAAGAUGUUCACUGAAUUCAGCCAAAAUCUGAAGACACCAAGCCAACAGCCAGACAAGAAGCUCUGCACCCCACCCCGGCAGGCCUGGUCCACUCACCACGGGCAACUGCCUGCAGCCCCUCCGCCCUCUGCUCUGCCUUCCAAACUACUGCCCCCUGCCUGCACCCCUUCUAGAAGGCAGGGCGGCUCCCGGUGGCCUAGGGGGCAGCAGGAGGCAAGGCCCCGGAAGGCCCGUUCUCAGUCCCACCAAGUCCCGGGCCUUCCCAGAAAGCCCAGGGGACACAGGGCUGAGUGUGAAGCGCCAGCCCUGGGCUUUGGGGAAGGAACUCCCGGGGCUGAGCCACUCCCGCCCCCAAAUCCAGAGGAGGGCCACAACCCAGGGUGAUGACCCCAGCGGCAAGCAGCUUCCUCCAUCUUCUUGAAGACAUCUCAAAGGGGCAGAGUCAGGAAAGGAAGUGAAAGGAGGCCCAGGUGCCACGGUGGCUUUAUCUUUCCCCCUCCCUAGUAUUUCUAUCAAGUUUCUGUUUCACUGCCCCCUCACAUCUAAGGGGUAUGGGAACCUUUUUAAUGAAAUUCUGUGGGAAACACAACAGGUUUGAUUCAUGACGUGUUGUUACCAGCUACCUGAUAAUAAGGCACUCUUGAAAACAUCAGGUUCAGGACUCCAUCCAUUUUGAAUACAGACAUGUAGCCUUUGUUUCUAGAUUUAAAUGCCUUUAGAGACAGUAUUAUGCCUAAAAAAUCAUCUCUCCUCCUGUUCAAAAAGUAAGUCAGGUUCAGAGAAAACCUGACUUACGCAUUCCUAGGUUGACUGUGCAUGUGUAACCCCUCCUCAAAUAACAUCUCUUACGAAAGGGUCAGUUACUCUUCUCUCCGUAUUGCCAGGUCAUUGGAACCUGAAGCAAACCACUUCAAAAGAAACUACACUAAAAUCCUUAAGAUAUAAUUUAUAACUCAUUUCCAUUUUUUUUAAAAAAAAGAUAAUUCCUAACAGCUAUAAAACAAAGAUAAGAGAAGGUGCUGAUGGCAGUCCCCUUUCAAAUCAGCCCUCCCAUAGAAUCAGAAUGGUAAGACUGCUUUGGAAUUCUGGAAAUUAUGUUUGGAGGGUUUUUUCCGUGGAAACCUUUGUUAGGUCAGUGUUCAUCAAAGUAACCACGGGGAAAGCCUCAAGGCGGCUGGCUGCACCAGGAGGGGGGGUGGUGCUGGUCCCAUUGUACAGACAGCCGUAACCUUGUAACUGAGGCCAGAUGACCCUGGUCACAUGCCACCUUUCACCAAGUCCACUUAACGAAAGUAAGUCUUCCUGCCGCCUCCGUAAAAAUUCAGUUUCGGUAUUUGCAGAAAAUCCACAUGGCACGGUCUUUUCUGGGUAGUAGCUUCCUCAAUCCUGCUCUUUCCCAGGCUCAGCGGAUAUGUGAUGACUGUGCCCCCCCUCUUGCUAAGACACUCCCAAAGAUUUCCUGGAGCAACUUGAAAAGGACCUACAAGCUUGAAAUAAAGAUUCAAUGCGUCCUAUUUGAAAAUGCACAGAUGCCACAUAAAACUGAAACAGAAUACCUGCUCCUGGCCCUGACUCCUAGAAAAACACUGGGAUGAUUUUCCUUCAGAAAAGAGUGACAUCGGAAAUGAGGCAGCUGCUUCUCCCACCUGCAUCUGGAGGGUUAAGGAGCACGAGGACUUUGCUGUCGGAGCCCAAGAAUAGCGUUUUAAGAGGCAUCACUCCCGAACAAUCACUAAACCACUAACACCCUCAUUUUAAAGAGAAGAAAACAGAAUGUGGGGAGCACGGAGAUGGAAGGUUUUUGAGCAAAGUCUCACUCCACUGGCAGCUCCUCUGACGGCUGCUCUGCCUUAAAGAAGCUUUCAGGAUCCUCAGACUUUCCCUAGUUUUAUGGAACUUCUCCCUGAUAUGAAAGGACCAUAACAUCCAGCCUCACAAAGGCUUUUCUGUUUGCUUCUACUGAUUAAAAAGAAAGAAAAUACUAAUGGGAGCAUCAUUAAGUCACCUGCUAAGAAUAUGAGAAAGGAAAGAGAUCCUGCCCAUUUUACAGAUGGAAAAACCUAAGUAUAAGGUGUAGUAUCUUUCCUUUAACCAUAAUCAAGGCUGGGCUGGAUUUAGAACCUGGCUGGUCACCUAAGCCUACAAAUCCAGCUCCCUCUGAUAGAUCAUAUGAAAUUAAUUAAAAGGGCUAAGGGAGAUAUGCCAUAAGGUCUGCU